AAACAGUGAUAAGGAACAGACAUUUCUCGUCAACCUCAAGAAGAGAUUCUGGAUUGGUCUGACUGACUCUGUUAAUGAGGGGACCUGGAAAUGGGUGGACGGCACCCCACUGACCACAGGGUACUGGUAUUACCCACAGCUUGAUAAUGGUGAUGGCAAACCAGAAAAUGGUGAGGAGGACUGUGUUGAGAUACGCACAGAUCAGAGUCCUCUGAAGGCAUGGAAUGACUUGUCAUGUGUGGAGAAUCUUCCCUGGAUUUGUGAGAAAGUGCUUUAACAUCACCAUGACAACAUAACGUAGCACGAACAGCAGCCUUCAGUGCGCACACCUCUCUCUCUCUCUCUC